rnacentral:lncRNA from 1 species
CUGCAAGUAGGACAGGAUGAGUGUGACAGCAACCAUGUAUCUAUACACCUCACAUGAAAACCAUGGUGACAUUUUGGCAAAACCCUGACUCUUUCACCAUCAAUAAAUUCUCCUAGGCAAAUUGGACAAUCUGUAGCCUUAAUAUUUAUCCCUGAACUAUAUAUGGCCACAGGAAUCUGGCGCAAUGCUCUCUUCUUCAGGCCUGUUGCAGCUAGACGUGCUGCUGUCUCAUCUGGGGUCUCAAAAGCAAACCUUCUACUACAACGCAAAGCACAACGCACUAUGGAGUUUAGUCCUAGGGCACAAAUCAGUGCACAAAGC